UUCAAAGAGAAUAUGGGCAGCACCUAGCUAUGGUGUACAGAAACGUACUUGAGAUGAAGCUUUGGGAAAUUUAUUUGGUAAGAAGAACCAAAAACGUUCCUAGCAACAGUAGUUUACAUUGGGGAAUUCAUUUGAACUACUCAAAUGUUCCAGCAACAAUGCUAUGACGUGGAGAAAUUACAUAUUUUCCUUCUUCUCCUCAACUUAAAUUAGGAAAAGUCCUCUUAAGAAAAUUAUGAGCAGCAACGUGUGGAGGUGGAGAUAUCCUCGUGUGUUGAAGAAAAAGGAGAUAAAUGACAUAAAGGUUAUGCCCACGUCGGUUUCCUCCGGAUGGUAGCAAAUCAGAGAUUUCUUUGAAGUGAAGUAAGGUGGAAGAAGAGUAGUUCUUGGCUUAUAAGGUGGAAGUGAUGUGGCUUGAGUUGGUACUGAGAUCAAUUAGACGAAAAGAGGUUCUCUAAAGAGGAAGGCAAGGCUAAGGCUUGGCGAUUCGAGACUGUUGCUCGGCAUUUCAGGUAGGUUACGGCUUACCUUAGUUAGACUUUGAUUAGCGAAACAUAUGUAUUGUGUAGAAUUGACAGGAGAAAGCAUGAUUAGGUCUUCGGACAUGGUGUUUUGGUUGGAUAUUAGCUAGUUCGGUAUGACUUCUGAUUUUGUGAGCUCGUCGCCAUUACUUUAUGUACUGAAAUAUGAGGUGUAGUUGUAUUCAUACUGUGGCGAUUCAGGAUGGUUUUCUAUUAGGUUGAUUGUUGUUGAUAGUGGCUUGUUGCCUUGUUAUUGUGAUUAGACUUAUUGCCUAAAUUAUCGUGUUGUACUGAGUUCUCUCUUAUUGUGGCAUAUGUUAUUGGAGAAAGGAAGGAUAAUGAGUUUAGGCUUGAAUUGUGAUAUAAACUUAUGCCAGUACGUAGAUGAAAACUUGAUGUAUGAUUUAUUGUUGAUGAUAAUAUAUAGCAAAGUGGAGCUUCUUGGUGAUACAAGACUUAGUUGUGAGGCGUACUUGCUACAUGUGGAAGUAAAGAGGGACAUAGACUAUUAUGUUGGUUGAGACGGUUUGUAUGAUUCAUUUCAUGGAUGAGUUGAUCCAAGUCUUGCUAUGACUUGUGGCUUUGUGACUUGUACCUUCACGGUUGCUUUAUUGGUUUGCAUUGAUUUACCACGCUUACACUCAUUUAUGCAUUCAUACACUCAUACAUGAUGGAAAUGGUUUGGGAGACUUGUGCCAUGAUGCCUUGUGUUUGACAUUGAUAUUGCUACUUGUUCAUAGUCCAUACAUACUAGUGAACUGGAAUACGUUGAGACAUACAUGGUGAUGUGAAAUUAGUGAAAAAGUUAAUAUAAUCUUCUUGUUGAACUUGUGAUACUAUUUAAUGCUAGUUGUGAGCUCAUGGUCCGAGGUUCGUUCCGGAAACGAGUAGUAUAUAUAUAUAUAUAUAUAUAUAUGAACAUGCACAUUUGACCGGGGAUGAGGAUGUGACCUAGAUUAUAGGCUCAUGGUCCGAGGUCAGUUCCGGAGCUAGUGGUACAUGAUGUGGAUCCGCGUCCGAGGUUCUUUCCAGAGCGGAGGAUUUAUGGCUCGGGUCCGAUGAGUAUCCGGAACGAGUGGUACAUGGACACCAUGGGUCCCCUGCAGGUCAUGACUACUGAGCAAUGACAUCAGUUAGCAUGUGUGUAUUUGGCCAGCGCAUUGCAUGUGUUGAUACCCAAUUUUGUCCCGCCUUCCUUUCAAAAAAUAUUUAUUGACGUUUCUAAUAUUUUAACAGCUUAAGAAUAGUCAUUUAUACUUUACCGCAAUUUUAAUUUUUCUAUUAAUACCGCCGUUUAUUAUCCAAUUAUAGUUGUGGCCUAUUAUUAUUAUUAUUAUUAUUAUUAUUAUUAUUAUUAUUAUUAUUAUUAUUAUUAUUAUUACUAUUAUUAUAGUCAUUAUUAUUAUAUAAUCGGCAUAAUCACUUUUAACAUUUCCAUUUACCAUCUUACGCAAAAACGCAUCGCAUUUAUCUUAUUACUUACUUUUAAACUUAUAAAUAUUAUCGCGCAACUAUUACGAUAUCAUUUUAUUUGAGUACUAAUAAAUAUAUUUUUAUACUAAUUAAUAUUUUAGCACGCAUUAAUAUAUAAUUACCUAAAGAGUGUCUUUCAUUUAAAUUUAGAAGCCCAAAGAAAUAUAAGAGGAGGUAUUUUCAGUCCAAGAAGACUUCAUACUAGCCCAAAUUCAUAUAAAAAUUUGAUCCUAAUUUGGUUAAUAAUAACCCAAAGGAGAGCCCAAUCCACACAACUCAUUCCAUACAACUUUUCCACGUGAAUUCCACGCAUGGUCAAUAACACACUACAAGCAUACACCUCCCACACUACCAGCACACGUCCCCCACACCCCCCCACACGUCCCUGCCACGUGUCUCCUCUUUAUUGGCUAGUUAAUUGGGAAAAUACCAUUCUGUCCCAACAUAACCAUCCUAAAUGACUAAAAUGACAACCCCCCCCCCCCCAAUCUGAAACCCUAAAUCUGCUCCUAGAUGCCUCUUGUCUCAUUCUUCUCUAGGGCAGGAGAUAUGUUGUCUCUUUGCCUAUUUUGGUCGAUCUGCACCCUUCCGCCAACCGAAUUCAGAUUUUCCCUUCUCAAUUCGGGUAAGUUUUUGCUUUUUCUGCCAAAUUCAGAACCUUUUCUCCCUCUUUUUCUCUGUGGCAGCGACUUCGUGGUCUUCCCGCCCAUUUUCAACUAACGCUUCCACCUCUAUCAACAAUGGUAGAGCAUGGUUUUUCCAUUUUGGAGUAAGAUGCCAGUCCCCUCAUCUCUCCUCUUUAAUAGAGUCAACACAAAAAAACAAAAUAGAAUUCAAGUUUCUGAGAGAAAAUCGAUUUGCAGAGAUUGAUUGUUGACUUAAAACGACUCUUGAUUUUCGUUUUGGAGCCAAAAAAAAAAAGUUAUUUGAAAUCCGAAAACCCUAGUCCGCAGCUAUAAAUAGGAGCUUAUAGCAUUCAUUUGGGAGGGUUAACAGCCAUAGCCUCACUCUAAAAAAAAGCAAAGAACAGCCAACAUAUUACUCUAUUUUCACUUUUCGGUUUGAAGCUUUGGUUAAUUUAAGCGGAUUCGGUUUCGUCGUGUUUUGAGUGUGGAUCCGGGACCUAAAAGCUCUAGUUCACUGCACCUGGAAAAGGUUAGUGUUAUUCAUUCCUUUCCUCUCUGUUCGAUUCAGUCUAGAGUUUUGUUGUGUGUUCACAAUGUUGUUUCCCAUCCUCGUCUUAGUUUUAUCUUUUCAUUCCGUGUAUUUUCAGUUAUGUGAUUAGUUUAGUUUAAUUUUUUAUGUUGAGUCUAGUUGAAUCCUGUAGUGAUGUAUGAAGUAUGAAAUUAUUUGUUCAUCGCUUUACGAAUUCGUUAAGGAUGUAAAAUGUGUUAUGGUAUUGUUCAUUUGUGGAUGUUCAUGGAUAACCUUCUUGGUUUAAUAGUUCAAGCUCUCCCUUACUUCCCUGUUUUUUGGGAAACUAGGAUAUUCAAGUGCAGAUAUUAAAUAGUUGUGUUUUGGAUUUACUUUGAAGAACAAAUAAUUUCCCCUUUCAUUUUCGUGUUCUGUUUCCAUUCGGCCCAUGAGUAUAUUUUUCUGUCCAGGAUUUAAAGAGGAAUGAACGAAGAAGAGCUUAUCUUCUGAAAACAGAAGUACUUUGUUUGAGAUUCUGUUAUGCAGAAUAUGGGUUUAAUCGUAUGUUUCUAGUAUGCUUGAGGUGCAAAUUACUUGUUUAAGUUUGGUUCUUCAUGUUAUGGCCGUGUGAUUCUUUUACUGUAUUACUUUUCUUUUCCACUUAUUAUGAAAUUAUAUUUCACUGCUCUAACUUUCUUUUCUUUUCCUUUUUUUUUUGCAUGACAUCCGGGAUUGCGAGGAGUCUCGAAUGAGACUCGAUUACACCGCGAGAUCAAACGAUUUCAUCACUCCAUUCCGUGUUCCUAAUCCGCCGAAUUCGGCUAAAAAUGAACGAGAAAGGCUGCUGCUUUCUUUUAGCAUAUCUUAUAUUUGUUUAAUUUAAUUAUGUUCGUAGAUGAUUAUUUAGCUACUUUAGAAUAAUUAAUCUAGUGAGGGUUAAUUGGGGCGUUAUUUUAUAAUAAUGGCAGUAUUUUAAGCAUCUUUUGAAGGAAAAAUAAGUUUUCAAUGUUUCGAAGUCUUCAUUCUUGCCAAGUACUUAAAUUAAUCAAGAAAGGUUCAUUUAUAAAGCUAUUUUUCAAAUUUGCACAAGCCAUUUAUCUACCCUAUCUGGUCAUUCAAUAUAUUUGUUUUUAGCUGUUAAAAUCAAUUAAUACC